rnacentral:RNase_P_RNA from 1 species
GGAGGCCGGGCAGCCGCGUUGGAGGCAACUCCACCGAGGAAAGUCCGGGCUCCACGAAGCAAGGGUGGCGGGUAAUGCCCGCCCGGUGACCCUCUCGGGGGAAGCCGAGGGAAAGUGCCACAGAGAGUAUACCGCCGAUGGAGCCUAAAGCUCACAGGCAAGGGUGAAAGGGUGCGGCAAGAGCGCACCGGGGGACUGGUGACAGGACCCGCAUGGCAAACCCCACCCGGAGCAAGACCGCAUAGGGGUCUCGCGCCUUAGGGCAGGAGCGCUUCGCUCCGAGAGAUCCGGGUUGGUCGCUUGAGCGGCGGAGCAAUCCAUCGCCUAGAUGAAUGGCUGCCACUGCCGAUACGGUCCUGCAUGGGAUACCGUCGGCGGUACAGAACCCGGCUUACAGGCCUCCUG